CUUAUGGGACGACCCAUAAGCGCGUCUUUAUUCCGGGGACGGCCCCA
rnacentral:ncRNA from 1 species